rnacentral:rRNA from 1 species
UACGUAGGGUGCAAGCGUUAAUCGGAAUUACUGGGCGUAAAGCGUGCGCAGGCGGUUGUGCAAGACCGAUGUGAAAUCCCCGGGCGUUAACCUGGGAAUGGCAUUGGUGACUGCACGGCUAGAGUGUGUCAGAGGGGGGUAGAAUUCCACGUGUAGCAGUGAAAUGCGUAGAGAUGUGGAGGAAUACCGAUGGCGAAGGCAGCCCCCUGGGAUGACACUGACGCUCAUGCACGAAAGCGUGGGGAGCAAACAGG